GACGAACGCUGGCGGCGUGCUUAACACAUGCAAGUCGAACGGAAAGGCCCUGCUUUUGUGGGGUGCUCGAGUGGCGAACGGGUGAGUAACACGUGAGUAACCUGCCCUUGACUUUGGGAUAACUUCAGGAAACUGGGGCUACUACCGGAUAGGAGCUCCUGCUGCAUGGUGGGGGUUGGAACGUUUCGGCGGUUGGGGAUGGACUCGCGGCUUAUCAGCUUGUUGGUGGGGUAGUGGCUUACCAAGGCUUUGACGGGUAGCCGGCCUGAGAGGGUGACCGGCCACAAUGGUACUGAGAUACGGACCAGACUCCUACGGGAGGCAGCAGGGGGAAAUAUUGCACAAUGGGCGGAAGCCUGAUGCAGCAACGCCGCGUGCGGGAUGACGGCCUUCGGGUUGUAAACCGCUUUAGCCUGUGACGAAGCGUGAGUGACGGUAAUGGGUAAAGAAGCACCGGCUAACUACGUG
rnacentral:rRNA from 1 species